rnacentral:tRNA from 1 species
GGAGAGAUGGCCGAGCUGGCUGAAGGCGCUCGCCUGCUAAGCGAGUGUGGGGAUUAUACCUCACCGAGGGUUCGAAUCCCUCUCUCUCCGCCA